GGGUUGGCUCGCCUAUCCGUGUGGGCAGCGGUCUGUAAAACCGUCGUGAAAUGCGUUGCAGGUGCGACUCCUGCCCGACCCA
rnacentral:tRNA from 2 species